rnacentral:rRNA from 1 species
GACGGGGGGAGCAAGCGUUGUUCGGAUUUACUGGGCGUAAAGGGCGUCUAGGCUGAUUAGCAAGUCAGGUGUGAAAUCCCCCGGCUCAACCGGGGAACUGCAUUUGAAACUGCUCGUCUUGAGUAUGGAAGAGGGAAGCGGAAUUCCUGGUGUAGCGGUGAAAUGCGUAGAUAUCAGGAAGAACACCGGUGGCGAAGGCGGCUUCCUAGUCCUAUACUGACGCUGAAGCGCGAAAGUGUGGGGAGCGAACAGGAUUAGAUACCCGCGUA